UAUACCUCUGCUUCUGCU
rnacentral:misc_RNA from 3 species